GGGACGGCGGGGGCGGAGCCCACUGCGGGGCGGGGCGUCUCCGGUCACGUGAUGUCGUUUGCCUGUUUACACGAGGCGCGGGCCGAGCGGUCGGCCUCAGUCAGUCAGGCGCUCGGCAGCCUUUCGGUU
rnacentral:lncRNA from 1 species